GACGAACGCUGGCGGCGUGCUUAACACAUGCAAGUCGAGCGGUAAGGCCCUUUCGGGGGUACACGAGCGGCGAACGGGUGAGUAACACGUGGGUGACCUGCCCUCAGCUCUGGGAUAAGCCUGGGAAACCGGGUCUAAUACUGGAUAUGACUCCAUGACGCAUGUUGUGGGGUGGAAAGCCUUGUGCGGCUGAGGAUGGGCCCGCGGCCUAUCAGCUUGUUGGUGGGGGAUGGCCUACCAAGGCGACGACGGGUAGCCGGCCUGAGAGGGCGACCGGCCACACUGGGACUGAGACACGGCCCAGACUCCUACGGGAGGCAGCAGUGGGGAAUUGUUCGCAAUGGGCGCAAGCCUGACGACGCAACGCCGCGUGGAGGAUGAAGACCUCGGUCGUAACUACCUUC
rnacentral:rRNA from 1 species